rnacentral:rRNA from 1 species
UGAACGCUGGCGGCAUGCCUUACACAUGCAAGUCGAACGGCAGCACGGGAGCAAUCCUGGUAGUCGGACGUCGGCGGGAAACGGGGUCGGGUAAAUUACGUAUCGGAACGUGCCCAGUCGUGGGGGAUAACGUAGCGAAAGCUACGCUAAUACCGCAUACGAUCUAUGGAUGAAAGCGGGGGAUCGCAAGACCUCGCGCGAUUGGAGCGGCCGAUAUCAGAUUAGGUUGUUGGUGGGGUAAAAGCCCACCAAGCCGACGAUCUGUAGCUGGUCUGAGAGGACGACCAGCCACACUGGGACUGAGACACGGCCCAGACUCCUACGGGAGGCAGCAGUGGGGAAUUUUGGACAAUGGGCGCAAGCCUGAUCCAGCAAUGCCGCGUGCAGGA